CGGGAUCCAGGCAGGCUGGUCGGCGGCCUCCUACGACGCCGCGAAGGCGGGGCUGGUGCAACUGGCGCGCUCGGCGACGUAUGAACUCGC
rnacentral:tRNA from 1 species